rnacentral:rRNA from 1 species
CACUCCUACGGGAGGCAGCAGUGGGGAAUUUUGGACAAUGGGCGAAAGCCUGAUCCAGCAAUGCCGCGUGAGUGAAGAAGGCCUUCGGGUUGUAAAGCUCUUUUGUCAGGGAAGAAACGGUGAAAGCUAAUAUCUUUUGCUAAUGACGGUACCUGAAGAAUAAGCACCGGCUAACUACGUGCCAGCAGCCGCGGUAAUACGUAGGGUGCAAGCGUUAAUCGGAAUUACUGGGCGUAAAGCGUGCGCAGGCGGUUUUGUAAGUCUGAUGUGAAAUCCCCGGGCUCAACCUGGGAAUUGCAUUGGAGACUGCAAGGCUAGAAUCUGGCAGAGGGGGGUAGAAUUCCACGUGUAGCAGUGAAAUGCGUAGAUAUGUGGAGGAACACCGAUGGCGAAGGCAGCCCCCUGGGUCAAGAUUGACGCUCAUGCACGAAAGCGUGGGGAGCAAACAGGAUUAGAAACCCUAGUAGUCCCAUG